ACUAAAGUAAGGAGGAAUUAGCCAGACAAGCAAAGCUAGAGACUGCGUCUGCAUUUCACCUUUAUGAGAAGCUCCGGGCUUAGUGCUUCAUCCCACAUCAAAACUCACCCCUGGGAUUUCCAUCUUCAAAUAAAUGAAACAAAUGCAUUCCUGCAGGGGGGCGCGCUGUCAAAGAGGAGUGAACUUAUCCAGAUAUGAGAACUAUUCAGGCGUGUGCCAUCCACUGGGCACUUGCUGAGAAUGCUUGAUGUGCGUGCCACAGGAACUGAUGUGGACCUUUCGUUGGCCUCUCAAGCUCAAGAGCCCUCAGGAUUUUGGCAGUGGCACAUGCCCUCAGAUGACUCGUAAUGGACAUCUACAAGGAG
rnacentral:lncRNA from 1 species